rnacentral:lncRNA from 1 species
UGUCUUCUGACUUCGUGAUCCGCCUGCCUCAGACUCCCAAAAUGCUGGGAUUACAGUCAUUUUUUGAGACCAGUACUGUUAUAAUCCCUAUUUACAGAUGAAGAAACUGAGCUUCAAAAUGAUUAAGUGUCUUGCCUAGGAUUACAUAGCUGGUCCCUAAUAUUAAGGAGCUUUGUGGAUGAUACUAUGCAUCUUCUAGAGAAGCAGUCCUCAACCUUUUUGGCACCAGGGACCGGUUUCGUGGAUGGGG